rnacentral:rRNA from 1 species
UGGGGAAUAUUGCACAAUGGAGGGAACUCUGAUGCAGCGACGCCGCGUGAACGAAGAAGGCUUUCGAGUCGUAAAGUUCUUUUAUAUGGGAAGAUAAUGACGGUACCAUAAGAAAAAGCCCCGGCUAACUACGUGCCAGCAGCCGCGGUAAUACGUAGGGGGCUAGCGUUGUCCGGAAUCACUGGGCGUAAAGGGUUCGCAGGCGGAAAUGCAAGUCAGGUGUAAAAGGCAGUAGCUUAACUACUGUAAGCAUUUGAAACUGCAUAUCUUGAGAAGAGUAGAGGUAAGUGGAAUUUUUAGUGUAGCGGUGAAAUGCGUAGAUAUUAAAAAGAAUACCGGUGGCGAAGGCGACUUACUGGGCUCAUUCUGACGCUGAGGAACGAAAGCGUGGGCAGCAAACAGG